rnacentral:rRNA from 1 species
GCUUUAGCAAUAAAGAAACCCGGUAGACAGGUGCUGCAUGGCUGUCGUCAGCUCGUGUCGUGAGAUGUUGGGUUAAGUCCCGCAACGAGCGCAACCCUCGCCUUUAGUUGCCAGCAUUCAGUUGGGCACUCUAGAGGGACUGCCGGUGUCAAACCGGAGGAAGGUGGGAUGACGUCAAGUCCUCAUGGCCUUUAUGUCUAGGGCUACACACGUACUACAAUGGCCGGUACAAAGGGCAGCCACUCAGCGAUGAGGCGCUAAUCCCAUAAAGCCGGUCUCAGUCCGGAUCGCAGUCUGCAACUCGACUGCGUGAAGUUGGAAUCGCUAGUAAUCGUAGAUCAGCAUGCUACGGUCGAAUACGUUCCCGGGCCUU